AUUGAACGCUGGCGGCACGCCUUACACAUGCAAGUCGAACGGUAACGCGGGGCAACCUGGCGACGAGUGGCGAACGGGUGAGUAAUGCAUCGGAACGUGCCCGGUAGUGGGGGAUAACUGCCCGACAGAGCAGCUAAUCCCGCAUACGACCUGAGGGGGCAAGGGGUGGAUCGCAAGGCCUCUCGCUAUCGCAGCGGCCGAUGGCGGAUUAGCUAGUUGGUGGGGUAAAAGCCCACCAAGGCAACGACCCGUAGCUGGUCUGAGAGGACGACCAGCCACACUGGGACUGAGACACGGCCCAGACUCCUACGGGAGGCAGCAGUGGGGAAUUUUGGACAAUGGACGCAAGUCUGAUCCAGCCAUGCCGCGUGCGGGAAGAAAGCCUUCGAGUUGUAAACCGCUUUGUCAGGGAAGAAAUCUUCUGAGUUAAUACCUCGGGAGGAUGACGGUACCUGAAGAAUAAGCACCGGCUAACUACGUGCCAGCCGCCGCCGUAAAAC
rnacentral:rRNA from 1 species